rnacentral:rRNA from 1 species
AAUUAACGCUGGCAGAGUGCAUAACACAUGCAAGUCGAGCGAGACUGGUCGCAAGAUCAGUCUAGCGGCAGACGAGUGAGUAACACGUAAAGAAUCUACCCUUGAAUGGCGAAUAACCAA